rnacentral:rRNA from 1 species
GUUUGAUCCUGGCUCAGAUUGAACGCUGGCGGCAUGCCUUACACAUGCAAGUCGAACGGCAGCGCGGGGCAACCUGGCGGCGAGUGGCGAACGGGUGAGUAAUAUAUCGGAACGUACCCUGGAGUGGGGGAUAACGUAGCGAAAGUUACGCUAAUACCGCAUACGAUCUAAGGAUGAAAGUGGGGGCUUCGCAAGAACCUCAUGCUCCUGGAGCGGCCGAUAUCUGAUUAGCUAGUUGGUGAGGUAAAGGCUCACCAAGGCUUCGAUCAGUAGCUGGUCUGAGAGGACGGCCAGCCACACUGGAACUGAGACACGGUCCAGACUCCCACGGGAGGCAGCAGUGGGGAAUUUUGGACAAUGGGCGCAAGCCUGAUCCAGCAAUGCCGCGUGAGUGAAGAAGGCCUUCGGGUUGUAAAGCUCUUUUGUCAGGGAAGAAACGGUGAGAGCUAAUAUCUCUUGCUAAUGACGGUACCUGAAGAAUAAGCACCGGCUAACUACGUGCCAGCAGCCGCGGUAAUACGUAGGGUGCAAGCGUUAAUCGGAAUUACUGGGCGUAAAGUGUGCGCAGGCGGUUUUGUAAGUUUGUCGUGAAAGCCCCGGGCUCAACCUGGGAAUUGCGAUGAAGACUGCAAGGCUUGAAUCUGGCAGAGGGGGGUAGAAUUCCACGUGUAGCAGUGAAAUGCGUAGAGAUGUGGAGGAACACCGAUGGCGAAGGCAGCCCCCUGGGUCAAGAUUGACGCUCAUGCACGAAAGCGUGGGGAGCAAACAGGAUUAGAUACCCUGGUAGUCCACGCCCUAAACGAUGUCUACUAGUUGUCGGGUUUUAAUUAACUUGGUAACGCAGCUAACGCGUUAAGUAUCCCGCCUGGGAAGUAUGCUCGCAAGAGUGAAACUCAAAGGAAUUGACG